rnacentral:rRNA from 1 species
UUACACAUGCAAGUCGAGCGGCAGCGCGGGGGCAACCCUGGCGGCGAGCGGCGAACGGGUGAGUAAUGCAUCGGAACGUGUCCUCUUGUGGGGGAUAACCAGCCGAAAGACUGGCUAAUACCGCAUGAGAUCGAGAGAUGAAAGCAGGGGACCCGCAAGGGCCUUGCGCGAGAGGAGCGGCCGAUGCCGGAUUAGCUAGUUGGCGGGGUAACGGCCCACCAAGGCGACGAUCCGUAGCUGGUCUGAGAGGACGACCAGCCACACUGGGACUGAGACACGGCCCAGACUCCUACGGGAGGCAGCAGUGGGGAAUUUUGGACAAUGGGGGCAACCCUGAUCCAGCCAUGCCGCGUGUGUGAAGAAGGCCUUCGGGUUGUAAAGCACUUUCGGACGGAACGAAAUUGCGCGGGUGAAUAUCCCGCGUAGAUGACGGUACCGUAAGAAGAAGCACCGGCUAACUACGUGCCAGCAGCCGCGGUAAUACGUUGGGUGCGAGCGUUAAUCGGAAUUACUGGCGUAAAGUGUGCGCA